GGGGCCCGCACAAGCGGUGGAGUAUGUGGUUAAUUCGAUGCAACGCGAAGAACCUUACCUGGUCUUGACAUCCCGGAGACCCUUAGGAAACUAGGGGGUGCUUCCAUCUGGAAGAAUCUGGAGACAGGUGCUGCAUGGCUGUCGUCAGCUCGUGUCGUGAGAUGUUGGGUUAAGUCCCGCAACGAGCGCAACCCUUGCCUUUAGUUGCCAGCAGUUCGGCUGGGCACUCUAAAGGGACUGCCGGUGUUAAACCGGAGGAAGGUGGGGAUGACGUCAAGUCCUCAUGGCCUUUAUGACCAGGGCUACACACGUACUACAAUGGCCGAUACAAAGGGCAGCGACACUGCGAGGUGAAGCCAAUCCCGUAAAAUCGGUCUCAGUCCGGAUUGGAGUCUGCAACUCGACUCCAUGAAGUUGGAAUCGCUAGUAAUCGUGGAUCAGCAUGCCACGGUGAAUACGUUCCCGGGCCUU
rnacentral:rRNA from 1 species